CUCGUGUCUGUGGGCUCCGCGACAAUCUGACAGUUCGGUGCGUGGCGCGGCAUGGCAUCUCAGAGAACUAAUUCGUGAAACUUCAGGGCCAAGAUGAAGGGCACUAGGAUAGUCUAUCAGAUAUCACUCUUAUCUUCAACAACUGCUACCAACUGAUGGUGACUGUGUUUUCUCAGUUCUCAUGCAAGUACUGAAGUACUUUGUAUGGCAAAGAAACAGGAAAUGGAUAUAAUUGAUAGUUAUCACUCCUAAUCUUUUGCCUUGGAUUGUAUAUAAGUGAGACUAGAUAUCUGUUAUCCUGCAAUUAAGUGAUAAAAAAAAUGUGUGUACUUGACC